rnacentral:tRNA from 1 species
GCGGGCGUGGCGGAAUUGGCAGACGCGCCAGGUUUAGGUCCUGGUGGGCAUAGCCCGUGGGGGUUCAAAUCCCUCCGCCCGCA